CAGUCGACGGGGUAUCAGGGUAGUAAUACCCGAAGUACCUAGUGGCGAACGGGUGCGUAACACGUGAGCAACCUACCCCAGAGCUUGGAAUAACACCGGGAAACCGGUGCUAAUACCGAAUACUCUCAUUCGGCCGCAUGACUGAAUGAGGAAAGAUUUAUCACUCUGGGACGGGCUCGCGGCCUAUCAGCUUGUUGGUGAGGUAACGGCUCACCAAGGCUACGACGGGUAGCAGGUCUGAGAGGACGAUCAGCCACACUGGGACUGAGACACGGCCCAGACUCCUACGGGAGGCAGCAGUGGGGAAUAUUGCGCAAUGGGCGAAAGCCUGACGCAGCAACGCCGCGUGGAGGAUGAAGGCUUUCGGGUUGUAAAGUCCUUUUGGCGGGGACGAUGAUGACGGUACCCGCAGAAUAAGCUCCGGCUAACUUCGUGCCAGCAGCCGCGGUAAUACGAAGGGGGCUAGCGUUGCUCGGAAUGACUGGGCGUAAAGGGCGCGUAGGCGGACGGCACAGUCAGGCGUGAAAUUCCUGGGCUCAACCUGGGGACUGCGUCUGAGACGUGUUGUCUUGAGUAUGGAAGAGGGUUGUGGAAUUUCCAGUGUAGAGGUGAAAUUCGUAGAUAUUGGAAAGAACACCGGUGGCGAAGGCGGCAACCUGGUCCAUUACUGACGCUGAGGCGCGAAAGCGUGGGGAGCAAACAGGAUUA
rnacentral:rRNA from 1 species